rnacentral:rRNA from 1 species
AGAGUUUGAUCCUGGCUCAGGAUGAACGCUAGCUAUAGGCUUAACACAUGCAAGUCGAGGGGAAACGGCAUUAUGUGCUUGCACAUUUUGGACGUCGACCGGCGCACGGGUGAGUAUCGCGUAUCCAACCUUCCCUCCACUCGGGGAUACCCCGUUGAAAGACGGCCUAAUACCCGAUGUUGUCCACAUAUGGCAUCUGACGUGGACCAAAGAUUCAUCGGUGGAGGAUGGGGAUGCGUCUGAUUAGCUUGUUGGUGCGGGUAACGGCCCACCAAGGCAACGAUCAGUAGGGGUUCUGAGAGGAAGGUCCCCCACAUUGGAACUGAGACACGGUCCAAACUCCUACGGGAGGCAGCAGUGAGGAAUAUUGGUCAAUGGGCGAGAGCCUGAACCAGCCAAGUAGCGUGCAGGAUGACGGCCCUAUGGGUUGUAAACUGCUUUUAUGCGGGGAUAAAGGGGCCCACGUGUGGGUGUUUGCAGGUACCGCAUGAAUAAGGACCGGCUAAUUCCGUGCCAGCAGCCGCGGUAAUACGGAAGGUCCGGGCGUUAUCCGGAUUUAUUGGGUUUAAAGGGAGCGUAGGCUGUUGGUUAAGCGUGUUGUGAAAUGUAGAUGCUCAACAUCUGAAUUGCAGCGCGAACUGUCCGACUUGAGUGCGCGGAAAGCAGGCGGAAUUCGUUGUGUAGCGGUGAAAUGCUUAGAUAUGACGAAGAACUCCGAUUGCGAAGGCAGCUUGCUGUAGCGUAACUGACGCUGAAGCUCGAAAGUGCGGGUAUCGAACAGGAUUAGAUACCCUGGUAGUCCGCACGGUAAACGAUGGAUGCUCGCUGUGUGCUUAUUUUUAGUAUGCGGCUAAGGGAAACCAUUAAGCAUCCCACCUGGGGAGUACGCCGGCAACGGUGAAACUCAAAGGAAUUGACGGGGGCCCGCACAAGCGGAGGAACAUGUGGUUUAA